rnacentral:lncRNA from 1 species
UCCUUUCAAGUUCCUUCGCUUUGGUUUGCUCCUUCUCCUCUUUUCUCCAUAGGCUUCCAAUCAAUCGAUUGAUCAUGGCAAGCAGCAAGACUCGAUUGGUGUGCCUAGGCCUGGUUGUGAUGUUUGUGAUGCUCCUGGCGGUGGGAGUGGAGGUCGGGGGGAUCACCAAGGCGGUGGCGCAGCGCUGCCGUGGAGGAUGGUACUGGAAUGGAUUCCGCUGCGUGCAAUGCAAUUGGUACUGGUAUGACAACAGCUGCCAUCGAUGCCAGCGCGGGUGGCGCUGGAAUGGCAGCCGCUGCAGCCGCUGAAGAAUCGCCAAAGUUUGUGAGUGAUAUCUCGGGGGAGAGCAAGUCAUAGAAUAAGAGUGUGGCUUCGAAACGAGAAUGUUUUGGAGUCCUGUAGAAUCUUGUGUGAGAUCUAUUCAAGUUUUUGAGAUGUACAGGCCCUGAGACUGUCAAUGAUAAUAAUGGAGUGUUUUCGGGAAAGGUUUUGUUGCUGUGUAACGUUCGCAAUGUAUGGAUUUUUAAUAUAUGGGCAGCCAAAAAACACUAAAUAGCUGUGCACAGAAUGACAAAAAAUAUAUAUAGAUAUAUGCUAAUAAACAAAGAAUGCCAACUAUUGAGAUUGAAGCAGAGAACCUGGUUACAGAAAUCUGGAGUAAAGCGCCUGGCUUUUGGUACCAUUAUAGUGAGUGUACACACAAGAGUUCCAAGUCUUUGGUUGAGACUCAAGUCAAAUUUACAAUAUUAAAUUUUAUAUAUAUAUAUUACUAAUUUGUUCGUGGAACUUUGGAAAAUCUAUUCCAUAUGACUCAGACAAAUUUGUCAUCGAAUCUGAUCUACAGGAAUCAAUAUAAGUUGCCUGGUCGUGUCUUCUUUUCUCAAGAUCCAACACCAGGUUAUAUGAUUGUAACUCUUUGGGAUAUUGUUUCUUGUUCAUUCAGUGGCGGUGAAGUCUAUAGCGAUGGGGAUGGACAAGAUUCGUGUGGCUGGCCUUGGGCUCAUCGCAAGCAUGCGGCCCAACGCUGCCAAAGGGGUGGUAUUGGUAUGACAACACCGUUGCCAGAGAGGUUGGAGCUGGCGCAACUGAAACCUUGAAGCAAACUUAAGAAUCAACAGUAAUUGCCUUUGAUCAUGCUGCAGUGCCAGGGUCUGGAACUUGUGAUGCAUGCAUGACCUUGCGUCCAGCAAUGAUAUAUAUAAGUUGUCCAGGCCUUGCUGAAAGUCAAAGAUCUGUUCUCUGUAUUUUUCAUUUAGAUUCACAGCUUCAUUUCGAGAGUUUACUUGAUUUUGACUCCAGGCGCUUCUCUUGGGUGGCAUUUUUACUUCUUUUGUUGUGUUGCUUGGACUUUGUUCUUCUUGAUUUGCAAACUCGAAGAUUAAGCCUUUUCAUGUUGGGAAUGGAACUAAGAGACAAGGCCAGCGAUUGAAUCCACACCAGUCAACGUGAUUUUCUUUGCCUAGCUGGACUUUCAAGAAGUUGAGAGCUCGCGAAAUGAAGCCGGCCACGAACGCAUUCUCGACCUAAUGCGUGAGCGAACGUUUUCUCGAGCAACAUUAUCCGGAAGAAUUUCAAGAAAGUCAGAGGACCUCUUCCUUUUCGAUUCGGUGCCACAGAUAAUGGGCAAGUAGCAGGCUUCGAAUUCUCUGGAUGACUGAUGCCUGGGAGGCAUGCUCUUGAUCAGAGGCGUACCCAUCCCGUGAUUUUAGACGCUCCCAUAAAUUAUUUUGCUCCUGCCACGGCUGGCAACGACUUAGCAUAUUCCCUCGUGAGAAUAAUGCAUGACAUAAUGCUUGCUCGGUUGUAGUAUAUAGACACGCCUCUCAAGAGAGGUUUCCCACUUUCUUCUAAACAUCAUCCAGAUCCAGAAGGUCAAAGCUCGUUCUUUGCACUCUCAGUACUUAGGCUUCUAAGCACUAAGCUUGCUAUGGCGAUUUGGUUUGGGCUUGUUGCCAUGUUUGUGAUGAUGCUGCUGGCCAUGGGAGUGGGCGGAGGAGUUGCAAAGGUUGCUGCCCAGCGCUGCCAGAGAGGACGGUAUUGGUAUGACAAUAGUUGCCACCGUUUCCAGAAAAACUGGCAUCGGUAUGGAAGCUGCUGUCGAUGUCAGAAUGAUUUGAGCCGGAAUGGCCACUGCGGGCGAAACUGAGAUUAGGUAAAUCUGGUUGCCAAAAAAAAAAACUAAAUAGAAUAAAGUGAUGAGGGCUCUCACUGGGGAAUGUGAUUUUCUUUACCGAGCUUUUAUGGUACCAGGAUGUCCAGUCCAGAGAUUUCUCGAGCAGCCAGAGAAUUCGAAGCCUGCUACUUGUCCAUUAUCUGUGGUACUAUUAUCGGAACCAAUUUGUCAACGAAUCUGAUCCUUCCCAGGACCAAGUCUCCAAGUCUAAUGCGGUGUGCGUCCGCCAAAAAUGCACCUAGAAACUUGCUCGGUCGUUGCAAGGGCGACUAUAUACUACCUCAACUCCAAAAUAAAUAUUUACUAAACAUGUCUGAUGCCCUAUGACCUUCAUAUAAACAGUUCAUCUAUCUUAAAGACUUAGGUUGUUCUUUUUACUUGCAGUAGCAGAAGGGAUCUGGUCCUAGUUACACUUCAUAACUUGAAUUGAGAACGAAUGAAGGUUAUAGACAUAACAUCACCAACAUGAAGAAAUACAGGUGAGAUUUCUGAUGUUUUUUGCCAUCAUAGGUGACCUAGAUUCGAUCUUUGGGGAGAAGCAAAGACAAAGUCCUCUGUCAUUUCACGAUUGGGGGAGAACGCCAACUCAAUGAGCCAGCAGAUUGCUAUGCUGCCACAAGCAAGUGUAAAGCCAACUACAAACUUUUGUUUGGGAAUGACGUGCUGUUUAAGCACGAGGACAUUGGUGAUUAGCAAGACACAGCUGGUUUGCCUUUGGGCUUGUUGUGAUGUUGGCCAUAAUUGUAAGAGGUUCAAUUGAAGGGUUUUGUGAUUAUUAAGUCCUAAUUAAAAUAAAACGAUAAGGUGUUUGUGCUGUUUAAUUUCAUCUGGAGUAGAUUAGGCACUACGCACUGAGCUUUUAUUGGGUGGCAGUUCUGUGUUGUUAUGUAGCAAACAGAACAGCAAGAAUUAUGUUAUCUUUUAGAUUGUGGCGGUAUUUGGCCAGCACUGGUGUGUGGAUAAGAUAAGAAUUGCCUGGUCUGCAAGCUCCAAAACCCAAUCAAGCCAAGAGAGUUUGGUCUAUGUGGUUUUGUCCUUUAAAGUCCAAAGGAACGUACUAGAAUAGUGGACACGAAUGCAUGUUGUACGAGAGAGGCCAAGUUGGAACAAACAUAUUACUAAAAAUUAUGAACAGAAUUACACAGCUAGCCAAUAGUCAUAUUCUUUCAUUGGUCCAAGUCAAACAGUUUAAAAGUCUGUAAAAAAAACACAUUGGUGGCAACACGUUCGGCAAUGUUCUUCUCGACAAGCUCUCGCAGUUCCGCUUCAAACUUUGGCUGCCUGAUCCAGUCGCUUCCAACUGUAACAGCGUAAAUUCCAGCACUAGACCCCAGAGUUUUCGGCCUGCCUUGAGAAAGAGGUCCUGGCCUUCGCCUCUGGAAAUACCUGCAAUACAAGUAAAUUCGGACUUUCAUGCUUAAAAGUUUAAGUAGAGCUUACUGUUGAUCGCGGAGAACAUAACAUCGCGGUCGAAAUACCGAGCGAUUCUCUUACAUGCUGACGGAGCAAAUGACGAGCGCUGCUUCCGUGAGAUGUUUGCUAUUUCCCAGAUGCACCUUUGGGAUCUUUAUCCUGGAGAACUAAAAAGAUUUGUCACGCAUUUUCAUAUCGUAAGAUAUCGAAAGAAGGCUCUAUUCCUUACCCAAGAUGCUGUUGUGUCCUGUUGGUCCAAUACUCGGCCAUGGCAUGAGAGUCUAUCAUCACUGCAGCAACCAGCAACCUCGGGCAUACGUUGACGUAAUUGAGCGUGAAGUAGUGACCGGGAAUCCACCACAGAACUUUGGGAGCGUAGAAUCGAUCCACUUCCCUGCAACGGCCUUGUUGAGGAAAACGAAGUCCGAAUCAACCGCUGCGCGGAGAGUCUCUUCUCCUUUUUCUGGAACCAAAAGAAUUAAUUCACUCAAGAACAAGAGUAGAUAUGUUAUUCAUUCACCAGGAUUCCUUAGAUUUUCGGUAACUUCAUCACUUCGAUAGUAAUCCACUGGACAGUGGCGCCAGCGUUUUGAGAAGCACAGCGAGCUCCAUGAGCAGAAAGGACCCCUACAACCAAAUACAUUCUUGUCUAAGAAGAAGGAAACAAAAACUAAGAGAGAAAUACCUGUGAGAGUGAGCUCAUGCGAGACAAGCACCACAAUCCUUCCACGGAUAAACUGUAGGCCAUGCGGAGGAGCAUCCCGCCGCUCCCUCACUCUUUCAACAAGAGGAGCUUGACAAGCGAUAGCAAUCCCGCGUUGCGCUUGAUCGUUCCUGAUCAUCGGUCUAAGAAACAAAGAAAAAGAUCUGCAAUCAUGACCGUCCAAAACUCAACGUUGGCGAUUUUGCCAAGUGGCGACCGAGUUUAACAAAUUCAAGAGUCUUUCAAAUGGUGGGCGCGAAUUGUAAUGAAAGACUUUGGCCUGGAACCGCGCGGUCUUUGUAUCUAUCCACACACUCUCGACGCUAUAUAAACAUCUCUUACAAUCCCCCACACACUCUCUAGAGCUCCUUUGUUCUUUCGCUUUGGUUUGCUCCUCUCUUAUCCAAUUCCAAUCGAUCGAUCGAUCGAUUGACCGAUUGCUAUGGCAAGCAGCAAGACUCGAUUGGUGUGCCUUGGUUGUGAUGUUUGUGAUGCUCCUGGCGGUGGGAGUGGAGGUCGGGGGGAUCACCAAGGCGGUGGCGCAGCGCUGCCGCAGGGGAUGGUACUGGAAUGGAUCUCGCUGCGUGCAAUGCAAUUGGUACUGGUAUGACAACGGCUGCCAUCGAUGCCAGCGUGGGUGGCGCUGGAAUGGCAGCCGCUGCGUCAAUUAAUGAAAGUUUGUGAGUGAUCUCUGGGGCCUGGAACCAUAGGAGCGAAUGUCGAAUGGGUGAAGAAGUACAUAGAAUAAAACUGUGGCUUCGAAACGAGAAUGUUUUGGAGUCCUAUAGAAUCUUGUGUGAAAUCUAUUCCGAUGUUCAGGCUCUGAGACUAUCAAUGAUAAAUAUGGUCUGUUUUCUGGAAAGUUGUCAGCCACAAUUAAAAGUGUAUUUAUACCUAUAUUACUGCCCUUUAA